ACUUGAAAAUAAACUUUAUUUAGGCAAAUCUUAAGAAUAUAGGAAAAAAAUCUGCAAUCCAUCAGUCAGAAAUACAGUAAAUGUCAAAUUGCAUUUUAGCAGCAUUAUACUCGCAUCAGAUCUUUAUGUAGUCAUUGGAAGAAUCAAGUUCAUAUAGCAGCUAUGAUUUUCAAUUUUUUAGAAAGUAGCUCUAUCCUAUUUUCAUGAUAGCAGAAAGUAUGCAACUCAUGAUCAGUUUAAAACAUGAACAGAUAGCACAGCUUUUAGGCUGACCUUUUCAGGCUUUAUGUCACAAAACAACUGUCGUAAGAGGAAAUCACCAAGUUACUCAGAAAUUUUUGAGCAGUUCCAGUUUAAUUUUGAUGUUUCAUGCUGAAUGUACUCGAGUUCAGGGUUCUGCAUUGCUGAGAACAUGCAUCCAAACAAGUUUAUUCAAAGCAUUCUUUAAAAUAUAUAUUCUUUGAAUUCAGCUGUCAGAAGUCAAUGGUUUGAAUGACUGAACACUCAAAGGAGAGAGAAAGGCCCAUAGGGCCGGAGUUGAGCUUGACAUAUGAUUUACAAUUAAAAUCGAGUUUGCCUGUAACACUUUCAGUAAAAGCAAAGAGGAAAACAUGGCAGGAAUCUAUGUUUCUAUGAUCAGUGCUCUUUUUGUAAGGAUGUGAGAGUGGGGAAAUUGAAUCUUCCUAGGGUGCUUCUUCCUGACUAAUUCUUAUGCCUAUGUUUCUCUUAACUCCAUCUUCACCCUCCACCUGCCACCAACUCUUAAAGGCCUUGUCUGCUUUGUGGCCUUCCACGCGAAGACAAAUAGCCUAUUCAGGGAAAAGUAUCUAUGCAAACCCACCUUGCAAUUAAUAACAUUUUUUAAAGGAUUUGUUAAUAGUACAAUAAAGAAAAAGGCAGAAAAAUGUGAAUUAUGUGCAAGUCAUGCAGAGCCCAUAGGCAUUUUGAAGUGGGAAAGGCGGGAGAUAACCCACUACUAGAGACAUUGUAAAAGAUGGAUGUCCCAGAUGGAGUCAUGGUGAUUCCCAGCAAAUGCCUUUGCAGAAUACCAGUGUCCAAGGGAGACUCUCCACCUGCAUAAAGUCCUGCGGGAAGCCUUGUUUUGUUGAUUGUUAUGUUCUUCUCUUCUGAUUAGCCCUUUUUUUGCCUAACGCUGUCCUCAACUUCCUUACUUGUUUGUUGAGGAAUCUCUACCUCCCCUGCACCUAGGUGUCUAGUUUCCCUGCACGUAUUGAGGCUUCUGGAAGGAAGAUUAAAGAGUUCCUUGAUCACUUCCCACCUGAGAGAAAAAGUAGCCCAAAGCUACUUCACAGUCACCAUCACCAUCUUCUUAUCAUUCUGAGCCAGCUCUGGCUACAGUAGGUUUUCUUCAUAUGCUCCAUACGACAUGGAGGCAAAAAGCUCAGUGCAACC
ensembl:lncRNA